rnacentral:rRNA from 1 species
GACGAACGCUGGCGGCGUGCUUAACACAUGCAAGUCGAGCGGACAGGCGCUGCUCUUGUGGGGUGCUCGAUUGCCGAACGGGUGAGUAACACAUGAGUAACAUGCCCUUGUCAGUGGGAUAACACCUGGGGAAUGGGGCGCAAACAGGGUAUGAGAUCCUGCUGCGUGGGGUGGGAUGGAAAGAGUCGGCGGUGGGGGCUGGUAUAGAGGGUUAUCAGCUUGUUUGGGGGGUAGGGGCUUACCAAGGGUUCGAAGGGUAGCCGGCCUGAGAGGGUGACCGGCCACAAUGGGACUGAGAGACGGCCCAGAAUCCUACGGGCGGCAGUAGUGGGGAAUAUUGCACAACGGGCGGAAGCCUGAUGCAGCAACGCCGCGUGCGGGAUGACGGCCUUCGGGUUGUAAACCGCUUUCGCCUGUGACGAAGCGUGAGUGACGGUAAUGGGUCAAGAAGCACCGGCUAACUACGUG